AUGUAGAGGCGCGGUAUCGAAUAGUACUCAUGGUUGGGGUGAUGCCAAUGAACCAUGAUGAAAGGUUUUAUCGCCGAAGUCAGUUCGCACAUCAAAGCGGCUGGCUGGGGUUGUCAGCGAAUAGGGGCAACACUGCCAUAGUCUAUAUUGUUGUUAAACUAUGGAGCGCUACUGUA
rnacentral:ncRNA from 1 species